GGCACGCUGGUGCAGUGGGUAGCACUGUCGCCUCACAGCAGAAAGGCACUGGGUUCGAAUCUCGGUUUGGGGCC
rnacentral:tRNA from 1 species